AGAUUAAGUUAUUAAGGGCGCACGGUGGAUGCCUUGGCACUAGAAGCCGAUGAAGGACGUUACUAACGACGAUAUGCUUUGGGGAGCUGUAAGUAAGCUUUGAUCCAGAGAUUUCCGAAUGGGGAAACCCAGCAUGAGUUAUGUCAUGUUAUCGAUAUGUGAAUACAUAGCAUAUCAGAAGGCACACCCGGAGAACUGAAACAUCUUAGUACCCGGAGGAAGAGAAAGAAAAUUCGAUUCCCUUAGUAGCGGCGAGCGAAACGGGAAGAGCCCAAACCAACAAGCUUGCUUGUUGGGGUUGUAGGACACUCUAUACGGAGUUACAAAGGACGACAUUAGACGAAUCAUCUGGAAAGAUGAAUCAAAGAAGGUAAUAAUCCUGUAGUCGAAAAUGUUGUCUCUCUUGAGUGGAUCCUGAGUACGACGGACCACGUGAAAUUCCGUCGGAAUCUGGGAGGACCAUCUCCUAAGGCUAAAUACUCUCUAGUGACCGAUAGUGAACCAGUACCGUGAGGGAAAGGUGAAAAGCACCCCGGAAGGGGAGUGAAAUAGAACCUGAAACCGUGUGCUUACAAGUAGUCAGAGCCCGUUAAUGGGUGAUGGCGUGCCUUUUGUAGAAUGAACCGGCGAGUUACGAUUUGAUGCAAGGUUAAGCAGUAAAUGUGGAGCCGUAGCGAAAGCGAGUCUGAAUAGGGCGUUUAGUAUUUGGUCGUAGACCCGAAACCAGGUGAUCUACCCUUGGUCAGGUUGAAGUUCAGGUAACACUGAAUGGAGGACCGAACCGACUUACGUUGAAAAGUGAGCGGAUGAACUGAGGGUAGCGGAGAAAUUCCAAUCGAACCUG
rnacentral:rRNA from 1 species